rnacentral:lncRNA from 1 species
CCAUAAUCAUCUAUAUGUGCUUUAUAAAAUCUCAUAUUGUCAAAUUGAUGACAAAUAUUACUUUCACAGUGUGAAGGAUUAUUUUGAGAAUCCUUAUUAUCUUUAUUAUCACAAAGAUGACGAUUAUAAUUUCGUCUAUUGUAACGUCCACAUCCAUUGAUACCUUCAUAGUAAUAAUUUUGUCUUCUUUCAGACUUAUCACAUACUGCUACCACAUUCUUUUCAAUUGAACGGAUUUUGUCUUCUUUCAGACUUAUCACAUACUGCUACCACAUUCUCUAAAGGGAAUGGAGCAAAUUCAAUUGGACGAAUUUUGUCUUCUUUCAGA